UACGGAGGGUGCAAGCGUUGUCCGGAUUUAUUGGGUUUAAAGGGUGCGUAGGCGGCCCGUUAAGUCAGUGGUGAAAGCCUCCAGCUCAACUGGAGAACUGCCAUUGAUACUGGCGGGCUUGAGUACAGACGAGGUAGGCGGAAUUGAUUGUGUAGCGGUGAAAUGCGCAGAUAUCGGGAGGAACACCAGUAGCGAAGGCGGCUCGCUGGGCCACACCUGACGCUGAGACGCGAAAGCUAGGGGAGCGAACAGG
rnacentral:rRNA from 1 species